AUACGUAGGGUGCAAGCGUUAAUCGGAAUUACUGGGCGUAAAGCGUGCGCAGGCGGUUCGGAAGGAAAGAUGUGAAAUCCCAGGGCUUAACCUUGGAACUGCAUUUUUAACUGCCGGGCUAGAGUAUGUCAGAGGGGGGUAGAAUUCCACGUGUAGCAGUGAAAUGCGUAGAGAUGUGGAGGAAUACCGAUGGCGAAGGCAGCCCCCUGGGAUGAUACUGACGCUCAUGCACGAAAGCGUGGGGAGCAAACAGGAUUAGCUACCCUGGUAGUCCACGCCCUAAACGAUGUCAACUAGCUGUUGGGGCCUUCGGGCCUUAGUAGCGCAGCUAACGCGUGAAGUUGACCGCCUGGGGAGUACGGUCGCAAGAUUAAA
rnacentral:rRNA from 1 species